rnacentral:rRNA from 1 species
GGGGAAUAUUGGACAAUGGGGGGAACCCUGAUCCAGCCAUGCCGCGUGUGUGAAGAAGGCCUUUUGGUUGUAAAGCACUUUAAGCGAGGAGGAGGCUACCGAGAUUAAUACUCUUGGAUAGUGGACGUUACUCGCAGAAUAAGCACCGGCUAACUCUGUGCCAGCAGCCGCGGUAAUACAGAGGGUGCAAGCGUUAAUCGGAUUUACUGGGCGUAAAGCGCGCGUAGGUGGCCAAUUAAGUCAAAUGUGAAAUCCCCGAGCUUAACUUGGGAAUUGCAUUCGAUACUGGUUGGCUAGAGUAUGGGAGAGGAUGGUAGAAUUCCAGGUGUAGCGGUGAAAUGCGUAGAGAUCUGGAGGAAUACCGAUGGCGAAGGCAGCCAUCUGGCCUAAUACUGACACUGAGGUGCGAAAGCAUGGGGAGCAAACA